CCUUCGAUAGCUCAGUUGGUAGAGCGGAGGACUGUAGAUCCUUUAGGUCGCUGGUUCAACUCCGGCUCGAAGGA